CCACACCACUGACCCCUUCUUUUGUCCAAAGAAACAACCCAGACAGAUGAGAUGGUGGCGUAAGCAAGGCUCAGAGAUUCAUGAUUGCAGAGGAGAAUCCCCGUGUGAGCCUUUUGGGCUUCACAAGGGUCUAAUCCUGGAGAACUGGAGUUCUUGCCAAGCACCGUUGACAAAUGAGAUGUCCACCUCUGAAGCCGACUGGUUGGACACCAGUUGCCGCUGGUUGUCCAAAUCAACGACCAGGUCAUCCAGCUCCUGUUGAAGCCUGUUCUUGGUCUUUUCCAGUUUG